GUAUCUACUUCAACAUACGUUGACAUAGAGCCACCAUUCAAACUUUAAAACGAAGACAAGACAUUCAACUAUUCAAUUUGUAUUUAUCUUUUCAAUAUCUAUUAUACUUUUUCUUCAGUUCCAGUUUAAGUUUCAUGAUGUUUUUUCACCCGUUUCAGAGUUUAUAAUGGGUGUGUAUGGGACGGAAUGUUGGGGCUAGAGUGAGACAGCUCAACUGCUAGAGUGAGAGGAGCAAAAAAAUUAAUCUUAAAAUAUUUUUUAAAACUGCUGCUGUGUCCGCAGCGUUUGCUCUACAGGUAUGAUUUUACCCUCAAAACGUAGCCAUCGCUGUCCUCUUUCAUCCAAUGUGUUUACUAUUGUCCUAGGUGUUAUGGUUCUUUCAUAAAUGUCACCAAAGCACAGACUCCUCCCUCCAACUCCUCCAUAGACUCCAAUGUUAAAAUGGCUCAGAAAGUUCCUUUGAAAAUCAGAAGAGCAGGCUGUCUUUACACUGUCACCACGUCCAUAUAAUAAACUCCACAGGCAUGAAAACUGAGAAUUAGGUAGACUAGACAUUGCUGCCGCUCACGGUGAAAGAAUUUUGUCAAUACGACAUGUACUUUUCAUUUGGGAAGGAUUUGUUUU
ensembl:lncRNA